rnacentral:tRNA from 1 species
CAAAAUGUAGUUCAAUCAGACCCCCUCACUUACACUGAGACAAUAUCUGUUAAAGUCAGAUCAUUUUGA